UGCCAGACCGUUUACAAGUUGUGUG
rnacentral:piRNA from 1 species